UACGUAGGUGGCAAGCGUUGUCCGGAUUUACUGGGCGUAAAGGAUGCGUAGGCGGACAUUUAAGUCAGAUGUGAAAUACCCGAGCUUAACUUGGGUGCUGCAUUUGAAACUGGGUGUCUAGAGUGCAGGAGAGGUAAGUGGAAUUCCUAGUGUAGCGGUGAAAUGCGUAGAGAUUAGGAAGAACACCAGUGGCGAAGGCGGCCACCUGGCUCGGUACUGACGCCCAGGUUCGAAAGCGUGGGGAGCAAACAGG
rnacentral:rRNA from 1 species